rnacentral:rRNA from 1 species
UACGUAGGGGGCAAGCGUUGUCCGGAAUCACCGGGCGUAAAGCGCGCGCAGGCGGCGAUCUGCGUCUGGGGUGAAAGCCCGGAGCUCAACUCCGGGAUUGCCUUGGAUACGGGGUCGCUUGAGGAUUGGAGAGGCAAGGGGAAUUCCACGUGUAGCGGUGAAAUGCGUAGAGAUGUGGAGGAACACCUGUGGCGAAAGCGGCUUCCUGGUCCAGCACCGACGUUCAGGCACGAAAGCGUGGGGAGCAAACAGG